ensembl:lincRNA
AGUAGGAGACCAAAAUCAAACAUCUGGUUAUUUGCUUGGAAAGGAGAGACUUAAGGGAAGAGGGGAGUUAUCUGGGUUUCUGUGUCAUCUUCCAGUUGCAGUAGCCAUUGUGCUUGCGUGGUUCUGUGGCUCGUGGAGACGUUAUGGUGGCACCUGCAAAUUUCCCUCUGAGCACAGACCAGUCAGUCGCCUUCUGCACAUCCCACACCCCAUCUUCUGCCCUGCCCUGUUUGUGCUGCUGUCCCAAGGAACACAACAUAGUUCCUGGUCCGGUGUGUUCCUACUGCUGUCUACCAUAUUUAGUAAGUUUCGUUAUGACUGGCCAGUCUUCACCCCUCGCAAGGAUGUCGUCUGUGUCCUAGCACUCACCCAAGCAGCCGGAGAAUAUAUUUUUGUGCUUUUGUACUAAAGUAACCCCAGUGGGUAGUAUCACAUUUCUUAUUACCAUAAUACAUUCCCAAUAGUGGGCAGCACAGAGCAGGUGGAGCCUACACAAGGCGUGUUAGAGAUGUGCUGACAGUUUUACAAUAGCUAUUCUCUAACUAAUUUGAUGUAAAGUACAAUAUAGCUCAGAGCUUUCAAGCAUUGAUGAAAAGCAUUCCCUUAAACAUUGAAGCGAGAGUGAACAUUGUCCAAACCUCAGUACAGCUAACUGUAAUGAUGAGAAAUGCGACAAAGUCUUGAUGCUAGGAGAAAUGUCUAUCGUCGUUUUUUUAGUAGUGACUGCAAGUCCUAGUCAGAGAUUCCCGCUGUUUGGAUCUUUGUCCCAUACCAUCCGUCUGCUUCAUCAAGAAUUAUAAAAGUUCCUUUUCAAAAAAGUAUGUCAAAAAAAAAAUUUUCAAAUUAAGCAUGUCAGGUAUGUGAUUUCAAAGGGCAAAUUAACUUAGGUGAGGACUGGGCAUGUCAGCUCAAAUUUGAGAUUUUGGAUUACUGUAAGGUCUACAGAAAUGAUUUGGUUGGCUGAACAAGACUUUCGCAGUUAAAUUGGCAUUUCUUUGAAGAUGACAUUAAGAACUCUUAGUGAGCUGAGAGAAUGCGUUUGUGGCUUGCAGCUUUUGUUGGGAUCUGCUGCAGUUGUACCUGUGUGCCAACUUGUCUGAAAAUUUGAUUACAACUUGGAAUAAUAGAGAUGUCCUUCCCCUCUUGGUGAUGAGGCGUGGCAGAGUGAAGAACAGUGUUUUAAAGGCGAGGAAAGGAGUCGCUCUGCAGAGUAGAACAGUGCUAAUGUAGACAGGCGCUGGAGUCUUCAGUUGACAGCUUUCCAGAUGAUUCGACACAAAAGGGUCUGGUAAGCUGUGGAAGAUUUUGCUCAUUUUCACUACAUAUUAGAAGUUAGUCUGUACAGGAGAACAGUGUGAUUUUUAUUUAAAAAUAAAUGAUCGUUUUCAAUUUGAAAAAAAUUAAUGAUUUAAUCAGAAUAUUAAAUGGUAUGCAUUUAUAAUAAUACACCCUGGAGGUAGCAUUCCCAUGGGCUUUGGCAGAGGGCAUUGGCCUUAAAUGUUUAAGUCACUUUUCUAGUCCUGAAAUUUUUCAGAUAGUUUAAUGGGAUACAUUUAUGCAUUCUUAAUUAUCUCUUUUUUGGUCACUGAAACUACUUAUUAUACAUUUAGCAUUUUAAUACUUUGUUUAUUCUAUUUAAUGACAUCUACAUUUGGGAGGGCAUAUAUACUAAGCCAAGCAGCUAUUUAUUGCCAGUGUUGAUUACAGGCCCACUAAGUAAAUAGCUAUCGCAUGCCUGAUGUGGCCAAGAGGUGGAGAGGGAAGAGCAGGGAGGCUGCCCCUCCAGAGGCCGCCACACGGGGUGCUUCCUAACUGGCAGCCGUAGGGCUAUGAUGAAAUAGUUACACAAUAGGAUUCUUAGUUUGCAGCACUUAACUAGAAUCAUUUAACUUAGAGUUACAUUUGAAAUUCAAUUUCAGGCAGGGUUGUAGCUCUGAAAUCUCAGCCUAGGUUACUGCGACAGGAUUGUGAGUUCCAUGACAGCCAGAGCUACAUUGUGAGACCCUGUCACAGACAAGGUAAAUCAAAGUUAUUUUUAGGGACAAUUAGAUAUAAUUCUGAAUAAAAUAGCAUCGUGGCAUCAUAUCAACAGAGGGAUAACAGUCGGGGUUAGUGAUUACUCAAAAUGUAAUGUUCAUAAUAAGCACUUAAAUCAUAUUUGAAAACACAGAUCCAUGAGUCUAAUAAUUAACUUUAUUUAAGGGAGCGGCAGGGGAAUGUUCAGUGACUGUUUUACUUACACACACACACACACACACACACACACACUACUGAGCAUUGUUUCAAUGGAUUUUUAUCUUCUGUUUCAAUUUUUUGGUACAUUGACUCCCCUCUACAUUGCACUUUGUUAUUAAUUUAAAAAAUUAAAUCCAAAGACAUAUUAAUUUUGUGUUUAAUGCAGACUUAAUUCUUGACUAGCUGUAAAGCUUAAGGAGUUGGCAAUCAUGUUGGCAAGACAAUAAAACAGGAAUUAAGCGGAAGUGCGGAGCUGUGUAAUAGGAUUCAUGGAGCACGGUAGUUUUCCUUUGACUACAUGAGUGAUAGUGACUUAUAAUUGAAUCUUUUUAACUCUUCUGUUUCUCAGAGACCUUGAUGAUCUGUUCAUCUUUAGCAUCAAAAUGGAAGCUUAGUGGCGUAUACUGUAAACGGAAAUUCAGAUUUCAUAGGAUUGUAAAAUAGUUUUAAAUCAAACUCCCUUUUAUUAUCAAUAUUGAUCGCGAUAGCAGGUAGUGUUGUGUUUUAUAAAAAGAAGGAGAAGCCAGGGAUGUGUUUGGUGACGGCCUUGUAAGAUGUGGGGGAAGGCGGGGCCUCUGUGGGCCCAGGCUGAGGCAUUCCUUCCCCCUGAGGGACCAGUCACAGGACGGGACAAUAUAGAAUAGAGUUUACAUAGGGCAUGGGAAAGGGAGUUGAGAGAAAGGGAAAAGAGGUGUAGAAGCCAGCCAUGAGCAGGUGGAAGGGGAAGGGGGAUGGGGAGAGAGGGGGAAGAGGAUAAGAGAGC